rnacentral:rRNA from 1 species
CCCUUAGAUGUUCUGGGCCACACGCGCGUUACACUGAUGAAGCCAGCGAGUAUAUCGCCUUCACCGGAAGGUGCGGAUAAUCUUGUGAAACUUCAUCGUGCUGGGGAUAGACCAUUGCAAUUAUUGGUCUUGAACGAGGAAUUCCUAGUAAGCAUGAGUCAUCAACUCGUGCUGAUUACGUCCCUGCCCUUUGUACACACCGCCCGUCGCUACUACCGAUUGAAUGGUUUAGUGAGAUCUCGGGAUUGGAGACGUUGCGCCGCAAGGCACAUCGUCCUCGAGAACUUGAUCAAACUUGAUCAUUUAGAGGAAGUAAAAGUCGUAACA